rnacentral:rRNA from 1 species
UUUCGCAAUGCCCGAAAGGGUGACGAAGCGACGCCGCGUGUGGGAAGAAGGCCUUCGGGUUGUAAACCACUGUCGGGAGUUAGGAAAUGUAAGGGUGCUAAUAGUAUCCUUACUUGACUAAGGCUCCGGAGGAAGCCACGGCUAACUCUGUGCCAGCAGCCGCGGUAAUACAGAGGCGGCAAGCGUUGUUCGGAAUUAUUGGGCGUAAAGAGCACGUAGGCGGCCUUGCAAGUCAGUUGUGAAAGCCUUCUGCUUAACGGAAGAACAGCAGCUGAUACUGCAAGGCUAGAGUGCGGAAGGGGAGAGUGGAACUUCUGGUGGAGCGGUGAAAUGCGUAGAUAUCAGAAGGAACACCGGCGGCGAAGGCGACUCUCUGGCCCGUAACUGACGCUGAGUGUGCGAAAGCUAGGGGAGCAAACGGGAUUAGAUACCCCGGUAGUCCUAGCCGUAAACGAUGGGCACUAAGUAGAGGGGUUUUA